rnacentral:antisense_RNA from 1 species
CUCUAUGUGGGACUGUGCGGGGCAGCCGUCAGGCUGGCCGGUAUUCAGUUCCCGGUAGUUCCUAACCCUGUACAGCUCCCGCACCUCU